AGUUCCUUAGUGUGUAAGAUUUUGUCAAUGUCGUGUUUUAUACGGCACUCGCUAAUAACGUCUAGAGUGGUUCAUCACGUCUCCUUUACACGGAGAAGGUCGUGGGUUCGAUCCCCACAGGAACUA
rnacentral:tRNA from 1 species